AAUUAAUUUCCCCAGGAAGGAACAAAGACAGCAUGAUGAAUAAUCUCCACUGUCAACGUGACUAGAUCUGGAAUCGACUAAGAGAUGAGCCCCUGUACACACUGACGUUGAGAACACCCACCCUGAAUCCCCAGUGAAAGAGAAGGCCGACUGCAACUUAAAUUUUUCAAAGGAGAAGAAAAAUGAUGGUGGAUUACGUGGCAUCCCAGCAACAUCUGAGCUUCCACCUCUUCUACAAGGACCUCACUCAUCUUCUCUAACCAACUUCCUGUUUCUUUUUCCGUCAUUGGAGACAUACGACCUUAUUCUGCCCCGCGGACAGACGUCAAGAGCAGAGGCAAUCAGAAGGGCCCAUCCAUAGUCACCAACUUUUCAGACUGAUGGAACUGUAAAGACAAAUGCCAUCCCUUCUGAGAUUCACAGGCAAGAAAAAUAUCUUCACCCCCUGGGCAAGGUCACACCUGACUCCUUCAUGCUAACGCUGAUGCAGACUGACAAUAUUGUGCUGUUUUAGUCUUUCAUAAAUACACCUCAUUGUACAGCCAAUAAUUACCUGGACUUCUCAGAGGAAAGAGCUGUUACAUGAAGUAAGAGAUAAUUUUCCAAGUUGACCUGUUUUGUUUUCCAUCUAGAAUUUGAACACUGAGUCUAUAAUCCUUGGAGACUCCCCUCUGGUAGCAAAACUCAGAAUAACAUACAUAAUCAAUCCUGUUUCACGGACAGGUAUUUUUGGCACCAACAAAUCAAAAUCUAUUCAGUUUAGUUGAAGGGAAGAGAAAAAAAUAAAAAUACUGCUGAGGCUCAGAAAAUGAUUUUUCCAAAUUAAAGUGUCAGAAACAAAGUUUUGUGUCCGACCUUCUCCUGCCCGUCUGUCUCCUGCCUUCCAUCAUCAGCCCCUUCUUUUCUGCACAAGGAAGCCACAGAAACUACUGUUCAUCUUCCCCCAAAGAAGGGUCAUAGAAACCAGAAUCCGUUAUCCCCAAUGCCAGGCAACAGCACCGCAUUGGCCCCUCCUAAUAUUUGUCUGUAAGGAUUGGCCAUAAAGAAAUUGUCUAAGGGGUGGGCUCAAGUCAGUAGCGCACCAAGCUGCACAAGCAGGAAGGCUUCAGUUCAGAUCUCCAAAACCCAGAUAAAAAGCCAGACAUGGCAGGCCUGAACAUCUCUAACUGCUGUACUGGGUAGGAGAGAAGGAAAAUACCGAAGCUCACUGCCAGCCAGUCUAACCAAUAGGUGAGCAACAGGUUUGGUGAGAGACCUUGUCUCAAAAAUUGUGGAGAAUGGUACAGGGUGACUCCCACAUUGGCCUCUGGCCUCACACACAUAUAUACAUGGGCACAUGCACCCAUACACUCUAUAUACCCCUGUCUCUUUCUCUCUGUCUCCCCCUACCGUGUUCUCUCUCUCUCUCUCUCUCUCUCUCUCUCUCUCUCUCUCUCUCUCUCUCACACACACACACACACACACACACACACACACACACACACACGUGCUUCACUGCCAGUCAUAAUAAGACCACUUGAUAAAAACUACUUCCAUUCUAGAAAGAAUUCUACACCAUAAGCGGGAGGAAGGAAUGCGACAUAUAGAAGCCAAUAAUGUGGACAGACCCAUCUUGCUGAGAGUCUCUUUAGUUUAUUACUUAUAGGUCACACCCAUUUGGACCCAUCAUUUCUAUACAGCUACCUACUCUUCACUUAAGAGUAAAAUGAGUUACAUCAGCCUAAGGCUUAGGAUCUUCAAAAUUAAGGUCCUGUGUUGUGCAUAGAAUUAUUUAUAUAUAGUCAUUAUAUAUAGUCACUAUUUAUAUAAACACAUAUAUGUUUAUAAUUCUACAUCUGUAUUGUUUAUCAGUUAACUUGUCUUUUGUUAGAAAGGUAUUGCUUUAUGAAGGACAUAUA